GAUGAACGCUGGCGGCGUGCUUACACAUGCAAGUCGAACGAAGCUGCUUAAAGGAAGUCUUCGGAUGGAAUUUAGGUAGACUUAGUGGCGGACGGGUGAGUAACGCGUGGAUAACCUGCCUUAUACAGGGGGGUAACGGAGAGAAAUUUCCGCUAAGACCGCAUAAGACCACAGCACCGCAUGUGCAGGGGUAAAAUAUUUAUAGGUAUAAGAUGGAUCCGCGUCCGAUUAGCUAGUUGGUGAGGUAAAGGCCCACCAAGGCGACGAUCGGUAGCCGGCCUGAGAGGGUGAACGGCCACAUUGGGACUGAGACACGGCCCAAACUCCUACGGGAGGCAGCAGUGGGGAAUAUUGGACAAUGGGGGAAACCCUGAUCCAGCGACGCCGCGUGAGUGAAGAAGUAUUUCGGUAUGUAAAGCUCUAUCAGCAGGGAAGAAAAUGACGGUACCUGACUAAGAAGCCCCGGCUAACUACGUGCCAGCAGCCGCGGUUAAUACGUAGGGGGCAAGCGUUAUCCGGAUUUACUGGGUGUAAAGGGAGCGCAGACGGCAAUGCAAGUCUGAAGUGAAAGGCGUGGCUCAACCCAUGAACUGCUUUGGGAAACUGUAUAGCUUGAGUGUCGGAGGGGUAAGCGGAAUUCCUAGUGUAGCGUGAAAUGCGUAGAUAUAGGAGGAACACCGGAGCGAAGGCGCUUACUGGACGACAACUGACGUUGAGCUCGAGGCGUGGAGCAACAGG
rnacentral:rRNA from 1 species